GCAGUUUGUACAGUGGAUGGAUCUGCUUACAGGCUUUUGGUGUCUGCUUCAAGACAGUGACCCUGAAGUCCUUCUCAACAGGCUACUCUCAAGGAGUUCUUCUCUCAAUCUGUGUUCCUACAUGGUCAUGUUCAGCUUCAGGGGAGUUUAUCCCAUGCUUCACAUGGAAAGGAGAACUGAAAAAAAAAAAAAGGACUUAAGGCUCAAAGUUUCUCAAGGUUUAAAGACUAUCAGACCAAGC